rnacentral:pre_miRNA from 1 species
AAUAAACUAAUUUUUUAUUUUUUACCUAUAAUUUUUUACUUUUCGUUUUAUUCAAUUUUUUGCGAUUGAUAUUUUUAUUUUUAUUAGAUGAUAAAUCAUGAAUAUUACUUUACGUGUGACUAAUUUUUUUUAAUUUCCUAAAAAAAUUUUAAAUAAAACGGAUGAUCAAUCGUUGGACACGAAAACCAGAGAAUUAGCUUUUU